UACGGAGGGUGCGAGCGUUGUCCGGAAUCACUGGGCGUAAAGGGCGCGUAGGUGGCGCGGGAAGCCAACGGUGAAAGUUCGGGGCUCAACCCUGAAUCGGCCGUCGAUACUCCCGGGCUCGAGCACUGUAGAGGCAGAUGGAAUUCCGGGUGUAGCGGUGGAAUGCGUAGAGAUCCGGAAGAACACCGGUGGCGAAGGCGGUCUGCUGGGCAGUUGCUGACACUGAUGCGCGACAGCGUGGGGAGCAAACAGG
rnacentral:rRNA from 1 species